GGAGCUGCGGGAUCCCGGGAAUUGGGACGGGUGUGGCAGGGGCAGGGCACCGCGGGGUGCCGCAGGGUCCCAGAAGAGCCGCGGGUGUUGUGGGGACGGAGCGCUGUGGCGGGAGGCGCGGGCUCAGCGCUGUGGGGCGCCGGCAGCGCGGCGGUGUUGCGCUGUGCCCACAGAGCUGUGGCGCCCCGAGUGUCCCUGCAGCAGCCGGCUCCGCGCCGGGCACGGCCUCCCCAGGGCCCUCCCGCCGGGGGUGCCCGUCUGAGGGGCGAGCAGUGGGCUGGGUGCAGGGCUGGUUGGGUCCCUGGUGGGGGACAGAAGCACCAGAGGCUGCCCGUGCGCUGGGGGAGGCCCAGGGGAUGCCAUGGUGCUCCGGAAAGCCGUGAGCAGUACCGAGGAGGAACCACUAGUUCCACUAAUGGAUGGUGCUGGCUCAAGAACAAAUGGUUGUAAGGUGGCUAUAAAUAAAUCUCAGCUGGAGAAGGGAAGAAAGCGUACUGAUCGUACUGAUCCCAAGAGGAGGAGGAUCCCUGCCAGCCAGGAGCAGAAGGUGUAGCACUCCGAGUGGUCCUGGUUUGGUGCAGCUGUCAUGCUGGUACAUUAUUGUAUACCUUCAUUAAACGUGGUGUCUUCAACAGCAGGGAGCUACUCCUGAUCACCCAGGAGGUUCUUUCUAACCCUUCCUACACUUUCUGGGGGAUAUUUUUAUCUCCAGCCUUUCUAGCUGUUACAGACUCCACAUGCAUUUUCUCCCACGUUGAUCACAAAAGAAAAAGCAGAGAGGCCCUACAUCUCGUGUGCAGCUUUUCAAAACCACCGCUUUCCUUCUGCAAGAUAAGUUUUUACAUCCCUGUGGUGAAUUGGAUUGGGAAGAGUUUCAGCUUUAACAGGAUUCCUUUACAUCUGGAGUGCCCAAGCUGGUUCUCCUCCUGGAAGCACAAAUGGAUGUGCUGCUUCUGCAGCCUUGUGGUGGUGGCUCUUGCCAUAUAUGACUAAAAUAGUAGUAAAUUAUGAAUUUGGUUCCAUGUUAUGUAGCUACCCUGGAUGCAUUAUUUAGGCUCAGCAUGUCCAUGUAAAAGUGCUUCAGUGAUCUCUUUGUUGAGAUUGAUGUGGGCAUCUGCCCUCUCCUUGCACCCUCAUUUUUAUGACACAGUGGAAUCACAUAAGGAAAGAUUAAAUAUUUAAGUCUGGAAUGCAGUAUGAGUUCUUCUGCCUCCUCAGAAGCACUGGGGCUUUGUGGAUCUGACCUGACUUUUUCUACCUACUGUAUGACUGACCAAUAAAAAGAGAAUCAUAGAUACCUGUGACCACCAGGAAACAGAUCUCAGAGGACACUGUCUGAUUUCAGAAAGCCCAGCAGGCUGCCCCUGAUAUCUUUGGGAAAGCAGUGGAUGGUAGGGCAGAGGUUUUUAUACAAUGUGUGUGCUAAUGUGUCAUGAGCUGCACCAUUUCCUCUCCAUUGCCUGUGUAAGGUCUUUCAGCUGAAGUGUAAAAACCUUGAAAUGAUGCAUUCUUGCUGUCUGCACUAAUCUACAGACAGAUGGCCAUUCAUCACUGAGGCAAAGUAGUAUAUAAAAAAGCCUUCUGAAUUUUUAAAGCGUGAGUCUCUGAAAACCAUGAUGCCAGCUAAUUCCUGCCCCUCUGGGCCAGGCCGGCUGUGAGCCCCAUCCCCGCACAGUGCAGACCUUGUGCUGGUGCUCUCACAGCUUCUCCCAUCCUUCCCGUCCCACCCCUUUGGUCACAUCCCUGCUUCUCCUCCUUCAUCCUCAUCCAGUGCCAGUCCUGCAAGGGGUUGGCAGCCAGGGGACACAGGCAGGGUCAGAGGCUUCCCCUGGCACAGCACCCAGCUCUACAACACAGGGACAAGCACCCAACCCAGCGGGAUGCCGUCCCCAGGCAGGCCUUUGAGUUUCUGUGGGAGGGCUAAGAAAAGAUUUAUCAGGGUAGAAAGGAAACAGUGCAAAAUGCCUAUUCAAAGCACUGAAUAUAUAUAUAGCAAUUUGGCAACCUCCUUUCCAAAAACAUUUGCAAGUGAUAUUCUCGGUGACAUUUUGGAAACAGGGCUGUUCGUAUCUGUUUAUUUGAAAAGGAAAUGUUGCAUAAGCUUGCCGAAAUGCCUGCACGUGCACAGAGGUGUUCUUUUAUCUACUACCAUGAGGGCAUUUCCUACACUCUUCAUUGAGUGCCGACUCUUUCACCUACUCACAGAGGCAAAUAGAUCAAAAUCUUGCUGUUUUGUGACCAAGAUGGGGAAGCUUUCUUCUCUUCAAAGCACAACUAUGUUUGCAUAUGCAAACAUACAGCCAACAUGUUUUUGUUAGCUUCAGUUCUUCUGUGGAUCCAAUGUUUCCAUACCUUUCCUUAAUCUCUUCUGACAGAAAAAAGUGGACAGGAGGUUUGGUGCAGGAGGUGUGAACUGGCAGGGGUUACUGGGAGGGAGCAGGGUUUUACAAGCCUCCCUUCCCCUUGCUCGAGCAGAAGUGACCAGGAGGAAGCAUGCAGAGUACAGGAGAAAUCUACAGGCAGCCUGGAGCACCUUGCCUGGAGUGACACGAGCAGCAAGUGGGUCUCGUGCCUCACAGUGAUUAAUCUCGAAGGGUAAAAAUAAAUGAAUCUGCUAACAACUGCCAAAAAUGGGAAACAGGAAAAAUAGGCUUUCCCAAAAGACUGUUCAGAGUUUAACCAACAGUUUAUUUCUGGCAGAUCAGGACUUUGUUGGUUUUCAUUUGGAUUUUGAGAGAACUUUGAAAACUGGGGGCGUGAUCAAGGCUGGGGACAGGAUGCAAUUGCAGCCUGUGCAAAAUUCCCAGAACUGCCUCUGCCUGAUGGUUAACCUGCCUCUGUGCAGAGAUUCCCAGUGGGAAAAUCACCCAGCUGUCCCUCAGUGUUUGUCCAAGGAUGAAGAAAAUCCCACAUGGGCUGGGGUGAGGCCAGGCAUGAGGACAGGGCCGUUGCUGCCUGAGCCACCCCAGUCCCUGCCACCCCACAGCACAAAGCAGGCACACUGUGACAUUGCCCAGGCUGUGGGGCACCUACUGGGUGCUGCUUCUCGUGCUAUCAGGGUUUUAACAUCAGCCUGGGUAUUUCUGGCCUGUGUUGGUCUGAACAAUGAAAAGACAAGGUGUAUAAUUGCAUCAAAUCAGCCUUAAACUGCACCAUUAUCACCAUCAGCUAAAAUCCUGCUUGAGCCCUACCCCCCUCAAAAAAGACAUAGAAGGCUCAGAAAAUAACAUGCAUGUUCAUAAAAAGAUUUUCUUUCUGUUGCCUUGACCACAGUGUGGUGUGAAGAAAAAUACCAGAGAGAUACACGGGGAGAAUUGGGACAGAGAAAUAUAUGGGUGUUGUAGGAAAAUCACGUUUGCACACAAGACGGGAGAAUUAUUCAUGGGCAAACUCAUCCAGGUGGAAAUAUGACCCCUGUAAAUCUGCCACAUCAGAGAAACCCACAGUGAACUGUUAGCAAAUGCAAGAUACACAGGCUGCUGCUACCUCUGGGUUUUAUGAGCUUUCCAAGCACAUUAGCACUAGCAGACAUUCCCUUCCAAGAAAAUUAUGAUAUCUGAGGAACAGUGUGAGGCUAUAAAUGAAUGAACAGUAUUUAACCUGCACUAAAAACCCAUGGUUCUAUCAAAUCUGCCCCAAAAGGGCACAGUUGCCUGAACACUAAUUUUAUGAAGCACACCAGUGCCCCAUGCAAUUAAAGACACAAAGUUGAUCUGAAUUGGAAACUCCAGGGGCAGUUGUAUUUCAAUGAGAUCUGAUGCAAUGACUUUCUGUUUUAAUAUCCCAGUACCUAGAAUCUUGUGCUGCGCGUGGAUUGUGAACAGCUAAAAAUAGGACCAUAUCCUGGACAGAUUGGAGCUACUCCGAUGGAGAAAAUCUGAGCUGAAAUGAAAACUUGGAGAAGAACACAGGAUGAAUGGAAUGGAUGCUGGAACUCAGCACAAGAGCUUUUAGAGGCAGGUAUUUGCCCUACAGUGCGAAUCCUUUGUUGUUCAUCUUCAUGGUGUUUACUACUGCUCCUUUCCCAAAAAGUUGUGGUAAGCUGAGAGCAUCCUCUGUGCUCUGGUCUCAAAGGGUUUGGGUAGAAGGUGGCCCAGGCACCAAGUCCUGCCCUUCUGUUUUGAUGGCAAACUGCUAAUAAAACUGCUAAAUGCUAUGUGAGUAGCUGCUAAGUGGAAUUCAUGAACCUCCUGGGAUUCAGGCCACAGCAGUUAUUAAUGUUUUGUGCAGAUAGUAUCACGUUAACAGGAAGCACCCCAUUCUGUCCCUUCCCAAGCAGUAAAGUUUACGGGGCCUUUUGUGCCAGAUGCUCUGCCGAGAAGCUCCUUAAGGGCUGGGAAACACCUCACUUGGGCUGUUCUGCCAAAGCUUGUCAAAUAAACAGAGACCUACCCUCUCUCUCUACCCCAGAAGUGCAGGUGAUCCUGCGUGAAUGUGGAGUCCAAGUUUGCAGCACAUGGCGUGUUUCCAGCAGCAGGGAUGAGUGUGGAGCUGAAUGGGGAGCCCAGCUGACAACUCAGCUGUAGGAACAGGCACAGCACAGUACAGGGAGAAUCUGGGUGUUUCACAUGGGAUCACCACUGUGGCCAUCUAGGGCCAUCCUCCCAUAGCUACACCUAGUGCCCAGAUACCGGGAAAGAGUUUUAUGUCCCAACCUUAUGGAUGAACCAGCCAAUGAUUCUACCAAUUCUUAAUAUUCCCUUCAGCCUUAUGCUCUGUGAAAUUCAGUCCAGCACAUCAAAGGGAAGUUUGCCUUUGAAGGGCUGCAUGCUUCCUGCAUGCAAACAUUGCUCUGAUUUAAUUAAGUUUGAUUUUUUUAAUCAGUGUAGUUAAACCAGUACUGUGCUUGUGAGCAAAUAUGGCUGGCAUAAGUAUCUCAAUGUGUGUGUGGCUCAAUAUCAACACCUCCCAGAAGCAAGUGACAUUUGAAUUUUCCUACUAUGCACAUUUUCCCUGUUUUUCCUCUAUCUUCCUUCUCAUUUUUUAUGCCUUAUUUCUUUCAUUCACACUAAUACGCUCAUAAGAUUGUUUCUUUUUGGUUUCUCUGCACUGAAGAUUUUCUUACUGUCCUUGUCCAGUGUUCAGUCUUUCAAUUGCAAAUUGGGAGGCCAAGUUGAAAGUCAGUAACGGGAUCCACAAGGACCUCAGGAGGAGCUAAGUAUCAGACAUGAAAGGAUAGCAUUUCAUUUAAGAUAAGGCUUAAUCUCUUCCCUUUGUGUGCAACAUUUCCAAACUUAAUCUGAGCACUUGUGCCUGGAGCCAUUUAAAUUUGCUCUCGGGUAGGUGGGUAGUGGUGGAACACACAGAACCAGAACCCCAGUUUAAUCCUGAGUACAAAAGAUAGGUGCCAUUAAGACAAAGGAGGCUGACCUUAGGAAACAUCUAUUAAGUGUGCAGCUAUGGGCAGAACACACAUCUCUUCAGUAUAAGCUUGAGCCUUAUCGAAUCUCAGUGUACAUAUUACACUACCUGAGUCCUGAAAACCCAUGGUCCUCAGCACCCACAGCGAUACUCAGCAUCAGGGUUUGUUUCUAUUCAUAUUCAACAUAUUCUUGAGAAAAGACAUUCUAUCACCUAAACUUUGCUGGGGGAGGUGUUUUCAGAUGCUUGUCCCAAAAUUACAGUUGAGAAACAUGGUUAUCAGCAUACAGGUCAUAAAUAACCUGCACUGUUUUUUGUGUUACAGCCAGGUGUUGCAAACAGACUCCCUGGAGCUCCACAAAGCACUGGCCACAUAGACAGCCAAAUCCCCACUUCAGUGGUUUGAGGCACAGAGUGAUAAAUUAGGACAGAUGAGUCCAGCACAUGGGUGGUACAAGCAGGAGAGCAGCUCGACUGGGCAAGAGCUGCUACAGUCCCCAGGGGACCUCAGGGAGAAGAUGUGAAAGCAAAGGGGGAAAACUCAGUCCUGUUGUGUGUGCAGGCAGGAGCCUGGGUUCCCACAGAAGCAGACUGACUCCUCUGCUCAUCAACUUCUGCUUUUGGGUUCAGUCUGAAUCUGAUGUAAACUGGUACCCAGUUCCUGAGGACAGAAAGGAGAAUGCUAGAGGACACCUCAACUCUGCAUUUGCAUCCUUUGCCAUCCUCCCAGGCUAGACCAUCCUCCCCCUUCACUGUUUUCCAAGUAUCUUCCACAAAAAAACUGGCACAAAAAAAAACCCCAGAGGUGUAUGAUAAUAAAGAUAACUGCUUAAAAAUUUCCUCAUUAAUGACUUUGCCUUUUCUCUGCCCUUAAGCCAUUUUUUAAAUCCUUUUCAACAUUUUCUUGCCUAUUCUAUGCCAUGCUUUCUGACCUUGCAAAUCAAUCUGUUGUGCAAUGCAAUAUUAAAUGCACCCCUGACAGCUGGAUGAACUGUACUGUUUCCCCCUUGUCCACUAAUCCAGUAAGCAAAUUCAUCAGGUCUGACCCACAUCCCUCCUUGGGGAGCAACAGUGAGCCUCUCACAAGGCUGGAAAACAGAACCAUGCAAAGCCUCAAUGCUUUACUAAGGACAGUAACAUUCUUCAGUCAUUGUGGCAUUCACAUUCUCUGAAAAAAUCUCUUCGCCCAGGAUUUUUCUCCUGGGAAGCUGACAGGCCUCAGAGAAAAGGAAAACAAUUCUUAUCUCAUUUGCUUCUCCUGUGUUGUGCUCAUCUGGAAUGUGUUUGGAGAUUGUUUAUCCACAGGACAUGGUUUCAUUGGUCUCUGGUGUGAGUUGUUUUGACUCAUUGGCCAAUGAGUGCUAAGCUGUGUUGAGACUCUGAAAAGAGUCACCAGUUUUCAUUAUUAUCUUUUUAGCAUUGAGUAAGUAUCUUUUCUGUAUUCUUUAGUAUAAUAUAGUAUUCUUUAAUAUAAUAUAGUAUAAUAAAGUAAUAAAUUAGCCUUC